rnacentral:rRNA from 1 species
AACGAACGCUGGCGGCAGGCUUAACACAUGCAAGUCGAACGCGUGUAGCAAUACACGAGUGGCGCACGGGUGAGUAACGCGUGGAUAUCUGCCUUUUGGUUCGGAAUAACCCCGGGAAACUGGGGCUAAUACCGGAUGGUUCCUUCGGGAUAAAGAUUUAUCGCCAAAAGAUGAGUCCGCGUCCGAUUAGCUAGUUGGUGAGGUAAUGGCUCACCAAGGCGACGAUCGGUAGCUGGUCNGAGAGGACGAUCAGCCACACUGGGACUGAGACACGGCCACGACU